ACAGCUGUAGCUACUAGAGAGAUGAGGGUUUCCUAAGAAAGGACUCCUUUAGCAACAGUCUGGUAAGAAGAUACUCAGGAACUGGACUUCCAGAGUGGGAGAUUCAGAUGGUGAGUCUGGGAAAAGCUUAAAGGAGAGAUAAGAAAGGAAGCAACAAAGGAUUGGGAGGAACUGGUUUCAACUGCUUCAUACAGGAUCCCUGGGCUAAAACCCAGAGAAUUGGGUGGGCUUGGGAUCCCCUGCCAUCCCCAGCAGAGGGGAUAGUAAGGACUUUAGAGAAAAGGGGUCAAGACCUUGUGGGAGCCUAGGACUACUGACCCUUUGCUGGGCACAUAAGACUCCCUGGGACAUCAGACUCUUUUUGUUGCCCUGGAAGGAGAGAGGCAACGAAUGACCUGGCUGGAGCCAUAACAAGAAACCACCAGACACAGAACUAAAUGAUUAUUGGCAGAAUGGGAGAAAACUUCCCCAGGCUAGUUGCAGUAAAAGGGGACAGCUGGUGAAAGCACCCCUGGAUGAGGGCUAAUUCAGCUGUGCUGUAAGCUGGCAUAACUCUAUUGAGGCUAAAGGGGCUGUACCUGUUUUCACUAUCCCAUCUCAGGGAGGGAAGUUCUUGCAGUAUUUGGCAGUAGGGGAAAGUCCUGGAAGCAAAGCUCCUGUAUGAGUCGUACGGUGUAGAGGCUGAAGUGAGUUCAGCAAAGGAUGGUUUGGGCAGCAGCAGCAGCGUGGAGACAUUCCCAGCCUCUACAUUAUUGGAUCCUUCUGACAAAGCACAGCCAGAGGGGUUCUCAGAGCAUGUGUAACACUGAUGGAUGGAAACAUUUAUGUCCACAUAGAGAAAGUCAUACUGCCUAGGAGACUGCUGGGUGUGUAAUAUCGGGCCCUCGGUCCAUGGCUGAAGCUGCAGAGAUGAUGCAGAUCACCAGUGGGCACCCUGCAAAAUUCAGAGAUGGCGACAGUGUCAAAACUGCACCUGAUGCUUCCCUUCAGAAAACCAGCUCCUCAGAGCAUUGUGCCUCUAAGCCUUGGAACUAAGAAGGAGCCAUGCCUGGAGACGGAAGACCCACAGGUUGGGGUGAAGGAUCAGCCCAUUGUUUUGAGAGAGCAGGACCUUCAACAGAAGAGGAAACUGGGAAAAGGCAUACAAGAGGGCCCCGUCCCAUGGGAGGAUGAGGGCAUCUCCCAGUGACUGUUUCCCCAGGCCAGCCCUGAAGCAGUAACGAGGACAUUUCUUGUUCUGUGUAGAUUCCCAGAGAGCGUAAUGUGCUCCAGGAAUCCUUCAGGAUGUGGAGAGAAGAAUCUGUCUUCUCCAUGAAGAGUUUGGGCCCUUCAAAUUGGAAGUCUUCUGCAGCUCUUUGGGCAAUCCAGAAAGGUGUAGCCCAGAAGCCUACCUCAGUACCACUGUCAUGGAGACCGAGCGGGCAGCUGUAUCAGCUACAUCCAGUGCUGUCUCUAGCACCAGUCUGGCUAUUAACUGACCCUCUCUAAGAAUGGUCUGAAACUGUUCCUUUUAUGUUCCAGUAAAUGUUCCAGAAAUGCACUGAGUUUCCCAUAAUUAAUGAAAUUGUAUUUGGCCAUGACAAUUUGGUAAAGUCGCCAACAAAUACACCAUCUUGCCAAGCCCGAUCAUAUGGGGUCAGUUUGGCAUUAUGUUGCUUGCUUCAUGCAUUAACCACAUCCCUUGUGAUGGAUUUGUGUUGCAGACAUUGAAACAGUCUGCCUGUUUGGGAGGGAUGUAGUAUUUUUUUUCUUAAUUAUUUUUUAUUUCUGGUUGAUGCAAUGGAGGCUGGUGUCUGCCAGAUGACUUUGGUAGGAUCUAGAAUCACCUCAUAAAUUGGGAGGGCAGUUGAGCAGGAAGUGAGGGGAAUUCCCCCGUGCGGGACUAGAUAGCCGCGAGGGAGGGAGAGCACAUGUGCAGGCUCAAUGAACGCUGCUACCCAAAAUCUCUGAUUAGAGGCGCAGGGGUGCACAUGCGCUUACAGUGAAGCACCCAUAGGGACACUACUCAAAGAAGAAGUAUAUUUAUUUCAAGCUCCUGGAAAGACCAUUUAUUGCCUGGCUGGGAAAAGUAUAUUCUCUAAUUUGUUUAGCAGGAGUAGAGUUAAUCUCAUCUGAUACGAUUUUUUUUUCCCAUUGGGUUAUCCCAGCCCUAGAGAAGGGCACUGGAUCUAACUCAACCAAGUGGCAGCAAAUAAUCAACAUUCAAAUGGAUGGAAACUAAAUGCCCAAUUCUAACUAGUAAUCAAAGGGAAAAGAAAAAUGCCUGCAAUGCUGGGAACGGGUUAAGUACAACAUUCCACUGUAGUAACUUUCCACACAACAACCGAUAUCAUCAAUGUCUGACAAAUGGGUGAGAGGGGGAAGGUGUUUUGAAAGUUUUGAUAUAUUGAUCUCUAUAUGUUAUCCUGAAUCACCAAGGCAACAGAGCAUUAUUCCAACCAGUCUCUAGCUAUUUUUAAAGGUAUUCCCUUCUUAGAAUCAAUCAUCUUUUGAAUUACUGACAACUGUAGGUAUCAAAGUAAUUCUAGCACUCUUUGGACUGAUGAUAAUACACAGAGACUUCAGAUGAUUCAGAACAUUUGGUAAUCUGUCUCUCUGCUGAAUUCAUUUUACUGAAGUAAUUUCUCUCAGCCAUCACAGAAUAUGGUAGGAUAUUUCUUGACAUUCAAUCCAGAGCUUACUUGUUCCCAUCUCCUGUCAGAUUUUGCCCCUAGUUUCAACUCUUCAUUAAUCCAGAUGCUGCAAAACUGUACUCUCACAAGAGAUUCAAUGGGAAUGCUGAUGCAAGGACUAUUUGCUUGGGUUUGUAAAAAUCAGACUCACAUUUUGCACACUCCAGGACCUAUGAAUGUGCAAAGGGUGGUCGUCUUCACAUGUGAGAUAAGACUGAAAGAUGAAGACAGGGCAAUCUGCUUUGACUGGUCCAAGAUGAGUCAUCCUCUUCAACAGCUUUAAUUCACUUUGGGUCAGUAUCAUGCUCCAGUUGGUGAAAAACUGGCCACAGCUGUCAGACAUCAGGAAAUUCACAUACACAAAUGUCUGAGGGCAACAGGCUAGUUUGCACUGCAGUGGUCAAAAGAGGUUCACUCACUCACGUGCUACAACUUCCACAGUUGAACACAGAUUUGUAUGAAGAGACAAAACCUUU